GAUAAACAUUGUUGUACAUAUGUCUUUAUGUACUUGUGGUUCUCUUUCUUUUUUAGAGACAAGAGUCUCACUCUGUCAUGCGCACUCAGGCUGCAAUGCAAUGACACAAUCACGGCUCACAGCCUCGAGCUUCUAGGCUCAAGCAAUCCUCCUACCUCAGCUCCAAAAGUGCUGGGAUUACAGGUAUGAGCCACAAUACCCAGCCUUAUGAUUUUAUUUCUAUUUGAUAAACUCCCAGCAAUGAUAUCACUGGAUUGAAGAACAUUCAUCUUUAAACUCAGUUUUCAAUGGAUUGGACGACGCCCAUCCACCGUGGGGAGGGAAAACUGUUCUACUCCAUCUGCUGAUUCAAAUUUUAAGCUCAUCUACAAACACUUCAAAGAUACUCCCAGAAUAAUGUUUAACCAAAUAUCUGGGUCCACCAUGACCUAGUCAAGUUGAUACAUGAAUUAACCAUCACAGGACAAUUUUCUGCCUCCAAAUCAUUCUGAAGUUUGGAACGUUUUUCACAGAACUGCAAAUGCCUGUGUAACACCCAGGCUUUUUACAAGGUAUCUAAAUACUUAAGUAUUGAACGAGACAGGAGGGAGUCUGAUCUUGAAGACAUCUGCAAAGAAGGUGGGACAACAAACAGAGUUCUUCAUUAACUGCGUUUCCGCUGAGCUGAGCAAGUCGGCCACGAAGGGAACAGAACAGCCAUGUGUUUACAUAAGUCAAUCACAGCGUUUUAUUUUUGUUGUUGUUUUUUAAUCUCAAAGCCAUAGUUAAAAUCCCCUCCAGAUUCUACUAACUCAGAAAUAGACCCAAGAAGCUCUACCCAUGGUGAAUUGGAAAUGAAGAGCCCCAUGUGAACAGCAAACCUGAUUCUUCCACUUAGUGGCAGGGUGAGAAGCUGCUUCUGAGAGAACAAAGGCCUGUCGGGGCCUGCAGGAGGCCGAACACACCUGCCAGCUUACUGAUGAGAACCUGAAGCAGAGUCAGCCCACAAUGCCUCGGGGGAGGAAACCCAGAAAGGAUUCUAAAGGCUGGGCCACAGCACCAUUAACCCCACAAUAGCCUUACGAUUGUCAGACUCUCC
rnacentral:lncRNA from 1 species